CAUUAUGUGAUGAAGUAUUUCCAUUUACACAGCAGAGUUUUUGAUACUAAUGAGCCAGAUAACACAUUCUCCAAAACCACUUGCUUGGUGUUACUCUUCACACCUUUCUCAAUACCACUUCCUGCUACAUGUGGCCCUAGUAUAAACUUAUCAAUCAGAUGAAAUGCAGCAGGUAUUAAGAGAUUAAAAAAAAAAAGAGAGAGAGAGAGAGAGAGGAGAUGUUUCUUUUACCUUUAACUGAAAGUCUGAGGUAACCAGGAACAUUAUAGAAACAACCCUGAAAGUCCAUACAUUUUUUUCUUUUCUUUGCUGAUUGAGAUUUGUUUAAUUUCUUUACAUAUAUGCUCUGAAGCUUUCAAAGCAAAUUCAAAUAUUUAUUAACCAAAUGUAGUUAUAUUCAUCUACUUUUUUUUUUUUUUUUUUUUUCCAGGAAACGCAUGAGACACCCCAUGCAAUCCUAUGGUUUUUUGUAGCCAGUGAGUCAGGUCUGGAAAUUCAGUACACAUGAGUCAAUAAGAUUUCAGGUUCCUAUGGAGAGUCCAGCAAGGACAUUUUUCAACCAGCAGUGGACAGGCCUCUGUUGCCUAUGCUGCAUGGCUCUUCUUGGGCUGGUUAAUUAAAUAUACUACGUCCAGACUGGGUUCCCCCUAACCUGUGUCAUGUUAUGCUGCAGGUGAGAUUGUCCUUCUCAAAGACUUGUAACGGCAGCAUUUUCCUCUGAAGUACGGUGACUAUGUCUUUCGCUGGCUUUCUGACUGCCCUAGCACAAGGCUUCUGCUAAGCCUGAUAGUCCAUAUAAGAAUUUUAUAUCAUAGAAGACUGAUGAUAGUCUAGCAGUCCUUGUCUUGUACCUUUUCUCAAGCUCUUGAAACAGUACUUAAAUGCAAAAGACAAUGAAAAAGAGUGUGGGAAGUCUCUUCUCCAACCUUUAGUGGAACCAAGGCAGUUGGCUUUCAUUUAUCAUCAAUUUUGGGGUGAAAGGGAGAGGUUUUGCAGGAGGCUAUGACUAGGCACAGCACAGAAGAGCAUGUCUACAAGAACAGUUUGGCUGUUGUGCUGCCUAAGACUCUGCAGGCCAAAACCUCCUUGUCAAGCUGAAGGUGGACACUUUGGCUGUACAGAAAAGAGCCCCUAGAUGUGAAGAUGCUGCUAGAUAUGCCCAGGGAAUCGUGGCAGGAAUCAUGGAAAUGCUGUCUUCACAAAGACAUUUUGUCUCCAAGAACAUUUUCAUUUUACACCCAAGUCUAGCCGGAGGUGAAUUCUUUUGUUUAAUGAAGAGCCACAGCUCCUUUGGAACAAAAUGUUCUCCUGUAAGCCGGGUGAGCCUCUGGUUUUAUUGAAGAACAGUCCUGCAGACCAAGACAAUGCUGUACUUCACUACCCUUUUUGAAUUACCACUCUGUCAUUUCCCAGAGGAACAUGAUCGGCCGACCACUAAACUCUGCUUUAAGAUCUUAUGCCCGAUCUAAAUGAGACAGAAUGAAGCCCUGGAGAGAUUUCAACCCUUGCUUUGUUGAAACAACAUUGCUUUGUUUGGAAUGUAUUUGCCUUUGUACUGGGGAAUGAAAAUGUAACCCAGUGCCCAGUUUUGAAAUAUAUAAAUACAGUGCUUCCCAUAUAUAUAAA